CUCGCUGUAGUUUAUAAAAAACAUUGAAUUGCAAGUUCGAAAAAUGGACGGAAGCCAUAGCGAGU
rnacentral:tRNA from 1 species